GAGCAGGAGGAGCAGGAGGAGCAGGAACCGCGGCCGCGGCGGCGGCGGCGGCGGCAGGGGAGGAGGUGGGGCUGUGGGGCCCGUGUGAUUCCCGAUCCGCGGGGCUGAGAGUCCGUGGCCCUGGGGCCCGAGUUUCCCCCGCGCGGGCGCGCCGAGGGGCAAGGGGCCGGCACCCGUGUCUGCUCCGUGCACAGCAGGGGACAGCGGGUGGCAGCGCCCCUCCGCCCCGGUCCGUCCGUCCGUCCCCGCGCCACUGCCGGGCAGCGGCCUCCGGCCCCCGUGCCUGACCUCCGUCCAUCUCAGAAAUGCGGGUGCAAACGCGAGUGGCCACGGGGCCCGGCAGGAAUCCCGGGCCUCUCACGUCGCUGGUCUAUGCGGACGAUCCCGGCGGCGGUGCUCAUGGCUCAGUGGAUGCCGGCUGGUGGAAGGGGUGGCCUUCCGCAGGGGUGACACUAGAACUGAGUCUUUGGGGAGGAGGAAGCCUUCAGAUCAAAGAUGAGGAAGAAGAGACAGUCUUUCGAGAGGUGGUCAGUUUUUCCCCGGACCCCCUGCCAGUUAGAUAUUAUGACAAGGACACCACCAAACCUGUCAGCUUUUACUUGUCUUCGCUGGAGGAACUCUUGGCGUGGACGCCCCGCAUGGAGGAUGGCUUUAACGUGGCCCUGGAGCCCCUGGCGUGUCGCCAGCCCCCUCUGAGCAGCCAGAGGCCCCGGACUUUGUUGUGUCAUGACAUGAUGGGGGGAUAUCUGGACGACAGGUGAGGACCUGGCCUUACAUUGAUUGUUUUUCUUUGCUGGAGUGGGGGCUGGAGGGGCAGGAGAGAGUGCUAUGUGUAGAAAGAGCACUGGGCGGGGAGUCAGGAGACGGGCAUUGGAGGGACUGCACUAACUGCGAGAGGAAGGCAGGCCCCAGUGUUUCAUCCGUAAAACGGGAAGAUUGGGCUGGGCUCGGCCCAGCACUUUGGGAGGUCAAGGCAGGGGGAUCACCUAAGGUCAGGAGUUUGAGACCAGCCUGGCCAACAUGGCGAAACUCUGCCCCUACUAAAAAUAGAAAAAUUAGCCAGGCGUGGUGGUAGGUGCCUGUAAUCCCAGCUACUUAGGGGGUUAAUGCAGGAGAAUUGCUUGAACCAGGGAGGCAGAGAUUGCAGUGAGCCAAGAUUGCACCACUACACUCCAGCCUGGGCAACAGAGUGAGACUCUGUCUCAAAAAAAAAAAAAAAAAAAAAAGAAAAUGGGUUUAGGAGGGGUUUUUUUCCCUUUUCCGCCCUAAAAUCUUUUGACCCCUU
rnacentral:lncRNA from 1 species